rnacentral:rRNA from 1 species
UACGUAGGGGGCUAGCGUUGUCCGGAAUCAUUGGGCGUAAAGCGCGUGUAGGCGGUUCGGUAAGUCCGCUGUGAAAGUCGAGGGCUCAACCCUCGAAAGCCGGUGGAUACUGUCGGGCUAGAGUGCGGAAGAGGCGAGUGGAAUUCCUGGUGUAGCGGUGAAAUGCGUAGAUAUCUGGAGGAACACCGGUGGCGAAGGCGGCAUCCUGGACCAAUACUGACACUGAGGAGCGAAAGCCAGGGGAGCAAACGGG